GUGUGACGAAUAGAACACGACCAGAAAGGAUGACAAAGGUGUAUACGCUCCUUUGAUGCCAUUUUUCAAUCAGUAUCUACUUAAAUGGGCAUAAGCGCGUAGGUUUGGUCGCGUAAAGUGUUCGUGGGAUCGCAUUGAACCGCAUUGUAAGUUAGGAAUGUGGACGUAAAUUUCUUCGAAGGUCGCCUAAAAACUGAAGCAAUGAAACGUUUUAAUGCGUAGACAUCGGCUUGACUUAGACGAUAUUUAAUCUGCGCUGGGAACUACACUUCGACAAUCUGAACUUUUGGAACGGGGACCUCAAAGGGAGCGGAAUGACGGUAUGAAGUAUGGGAGCCCGUCAUGCAAGGAGCUUUGCAGCCGGCGUCUUCCUCUUGGCUAGCCUCGUCACUGGUAGAGGGCCAGAUUGCCGGACACGGCUGUGAGCUGGCAAGUGUAUCGGUGUUCUCUAAGCCUGUCGUUAGAAAGCAGAGAACGCUGCAGUGACCUCGAUGCAGCGAGGAAGGGAUUUUAACAAACGAAGGCUAUUUCAUCGAUGAUGUAGCUGAAGAGCUGGAGUGCGACAAAGAAGCUGCUAUCACCUGUUACUGGAGAAUCGCCGAAAGGUUUGGGAGGAGCCCGUUUGUUUCUAUCCCAGACGAGCCAGAUGACUACCUGACGUCUUUCUGCCAAGUCUCUGAGAACUCCGAAGAGUUUCCCGAAGACGCAACCUGCAAGGACUACUACGCCGGCUGCAGCGACUCUGAUAAGCAUCAAUUCGCAAUCACGGAAAGAGGAUAUGCUGCUCUCCAAGAAACUGCGACCCUCGCGGACUCCUGCCAGCCCAUCGAGUCCCUGCGAGAAUGCCUCGACCUGGACAUUAUGCGCAAGUGUGACGCACAUCGACCACUUCGAAUCGGAGCAUUUCACGAACGAGUAACGUCGCGGCGAAGAGCGGCUAUACAGCUGAGGGGCUGCCUGCAGAAAGCCGUGAAUAAAUGCGACUCCACAAAAUAUGGGACCGCCAUUGACCGCUUGAAGCGCAUAGCCAACAGCAUCGUGGACCUGAACUCUCCUGUGACGCGACGAUCGGGUGCCGGCAAUGGAGCAGCCGCCUUUGACGCUGCCAUUGCAGUCGUCGGCGCUGCUGUGUUAAUUUGCUUCUUUCAUGCCGAUUUAUACUGGAAGUUUGAUUAGAUCGACGUAUGUUGCGCCAUCGUUGGUUGUGAAUAGAGAACCACUGCACAUGCAGAUACAGUAGCUCCUGAAUAGGCAGAACGUUGGACUGUUCUCUCAAAUAGCCGUUUUUACCCUGCCUGGCACCAAAUCUGCUUUUGAACUAGGAAAGAUCUAUUCUGUACAGGUACACAAGAAAAGCAAGAGAAAAUCGAGAAUAAAGCAUCGGAAGCAGUUUUUAUGUACACAUGUUGCGAAACCAUACUGUAGCAUAUAAUUUUGAUAUUUAAAUCACAUGUAUGUGAUAUAUCUCCACAAUAUAUUGUAUUAUUGUUUACAUGUCACACCUAAGGUAGUUUACAACGCCUCCUGUGGUUGACUGCAAAGAUGCAACUCAUAUGCCUGAUAUCAAUUCAUUCUGGCAAUGUCUACAGAGCAUGCGCAUAAAAAAUAAAAAAGGAUGCGGAUGGACCAAACAAAACCUGUUUCGAGCUGCACACUACUGUGGCGACAAAAACAUAUGUACAUCGGUCAAUCCUUAAGGCCGCUUCAUUGAUCACUAAGUCAGCAACGACAAAAUAGUCUUUCGUGAAGCACUCCUGAGUCCUGACCCAUGCAGACGAAGGUCCAGGAUGCAGAAGGCUAUGUUUAGUUGGUGGCGCAGAUAGCAAAAAAAAACGGCAUGUAUAGCAAUGAAACUCACGAGUAGGCGAUAACAUGAUUACGACUAUUCAAGUGAACAUUCAUUUCACAUUUAUUUCCAUAAAUAUUUGCUUUAAAAGGUGGUUUAGUGUCA